rnacentral:rRNA from 1 species
GAUGAACGCUGGCGGCGUGCCUAAUACAUGCAAGUCGAGCGAACGGACGAGAAGCUUGCUUCUCUGAUGUUAGCGGCGGACGGGUGAGUAACACGUGGAUAACCUACCUAUAAGACUGGGAUAACUUCGGGAAACCGGAGCUAAUACCGGAUAAUAUUUUGAACCGCAUGGUUCAAAAGUGAAAGACGGUCUUGCUGUCACUUAUAGAUGGAUCCGCGCUGCAUUAGCUAGUUGGUAAGGUAACGGCUUACCAAGGCAACGAUGCAUAGCCGACCUGAGAGGGUGAUCGGCCACACUGGAACUGAGACACGGUCCAGACUCCUACGGGAGGCAGCAGUAGGGAAUCUUCCGCAAUGGGCGAAAGCCUGACGGAGCAACGCCGCGUGAGUGAUGAAGGUCUUCGGAUCGUAAAACUCUGUUAUUAGGGAAGAACAUAUGUGUAAGUAACUGUGCACAUCUUGACGGUACCUAAUCAGAAAGCCACGGCUAACUACGUGCCAGCAGCCGCGGUAAUACGUAGGUGGCAAGCGUUAUCCGGAAUUAUUGGGCGUAAAGCGCGCGUAGGCGGUUUUUUAAGUCUGAUGUGAAAGCCCACGGCUCAACCGUGGAGGGUCAUUGGAAACUGGAAAACUUGAGUGCAGAAGAGGAAAGUGGAAUUCCAUGUGUAGCGGUGAAAUGCGCAGAGAUAUGGAGGAACACCAGUGGCGAAGGCGACUUUCUGGUCUGUAACUGACGCUGAUGUGCGAAAGCGUGGGGAUCAAACAGGAUUAGAUACCCUGGUAGUCCACGCCGUAAACGAUGAGUGCUAAGUGUUAGGGGGUUUCCGCCCCUUAGUGCUGCAGCUAACGCAUUAAGCACUCCGCCUGGGGAGUACGACCGCAAGGUUGAAACUCAAAGGAAUUGACGGGGACCCGCACAAGCGGUGGAGCAUGUGGUUUAAUUCGAAGCAACGCGAAGAACCUUACCAAAUCUUGACAUCCUUUGACAACUCUAGAGAUAGAGCUUUCCCCUUCGGGGGACAAAGUGACAGGUGGUGCAUGGUUGUCGUCAGCUCGUGUCGUGAGAUGUUGGGUUAAGUCCCGCAACGAGCGCAACCCUUAAGCUUAGUUGCCAUCAUUAAGUUGGGCACUCUAAGUUGACUGCCGGUGACAAACCGGAGGAAGGUGGGGAUGACGUCAAAUCAUCAUGCCCCUUAUGAUUUGGGCUACACACGUGCUACAAUGGACAAUACAAAGGGCAGCGAAACCGCGAGGCCAAGCAAAUCCCAUAAAGUUGUUCUCAGUUCGGAUUGUAGUCUGCAACUCGACUACAUGAAGCUGGAAUCGCUAGUAAUCGUAGAUCAGCAUGCUACGGUGAAUACGUUCCCGGGUCU